CCUGAGGGGAAAUCGGCGGGA
rnacentral:miRNA from 2 species